rnacentral:rRNA from 1 species
GACGAACCGUGCGAACGUUGUUCGGAAUCACUGGGCUUAAAGGGCGCGUAGGCGGGCGGUCAAGUCCGGGGUGAAAUCUUUCGGCUCAACCGGAAAAGGGCCUCGGAUACUGGCCGCCUGGAGGGAGGUAGGGGCAUGUGGAACUUCCGGUGGAGCGGUGAAAUGUGUUGAUAUCGGAAGGAACGCCGGUGGCGAAAGCGAUGUGCUGGACCUCUUCUGACGCUGAGGCGCGAAAGCUAGGGGAGCGAACGGG